rnacentral:lncRNA from 1 species
AGGUAUCCUGAGCAAGGAGAGGAGGUCUUAGCACUGCAGUUAUGUGUGCAAGGCAGUCAAGAGGGGCACGGAUUUCCUCCUUCAGCUACCUGGUUCCUCACAGCUUUAGCAGAGGAGAGCAGAAGAGCAACCCACCUGAGCAACAUUUUGAGCUGAAGUGCCUACACAGACUGCAGAAGAUGAGGAAGACAGAGGACCUGACUCACCUCUGUCACCUUUACAUCAGCUCGUGGUGCGUGCAAAGCUCUGCCACUGUACUGGUGGAAAUGACUGCACUGAGUGUAUGGCUGAGAGCUGCUUUGUGAUGUAAGGGACAUCUAGCACAGGCAUGCACAUCUAAUGCACCAUCCAUCGCAGGGGUAUCUCCUUGAAAUGCUUUAUUCUGCAUCAUAGACUCUGGUAUUUUCUACAGAGUGAACACAAAAAUUGUCUUGUGAAAUCCUUUCCUCCAAAUUCCAGUUGCACAUCGCUCAGGUAGUGCCCUUAAGGUGGUAACCUUAAGGUGUGCAGGUCUCUGGUACCUGUCUCCUUUUCUUUUAGCUACAUGAUUCCUUUCUCACGCGGAAGCUGCCUGUGAUUCUUACAUCACCCGGUUACUUUGUCCUUUUCUUUUGCUCUUCUGAGCAAAGAAUGUUUUCUUUUCUCGGAUAUCUCUGACUUCUGUUUCCUCUGCACCUUCUGUUAGGCCCCUACCAGAAGCAAUAAGACUAACUGUUCUUAAUUCCCAGCUGGUUUAUAGGUCUUUUGCUUUGUCUUCUCAUGAAAACGCCUGCAUGCCAGCUGUAGCAACAGCUGAAAACAAGGAAAAACCAUCACUCUGUGACUGGCGAAUUUCUCUGUGCAUGGUGGACAAGUUCUGGUUGGGCUGCAAGCGAUCGGUGAUCUGCAGUUUGAGAAUUUCCCAGACUCUAGAGUAUUUCUUAGAUAAGAUUUCACUGUGAGACAUGUAAGAUUGCAUUCACAAUUUGUGUUUCUUUCUUGCUGUAAGGGGGAGGGAGUAUGCACUCAGACCAAAACAAAUAUAUAUGUGCAUCUACAGGCACCUAUGUUUUGGUAAAACCCGUUGACUGAAAAUGUGAUUGCUGGGCUUUCUGCAGUGCAGUGUUGGAUGUAAUUCUUGUGGGGAGAAGACUCCGUCCUAUGGUGGUUGGAACCUGCAAUUCAUCUUGGUUUCAGAGCCUAGGCUCCAGUUCAUCAACAAGAUUUAAGACUUUGGUUCCUUUGAUGUGAAUGUUCUAGGCUUGUGCUAAAGUGAAGCCAGUGCUCAAAUGCUCUUCUGAACUGGUAUGGACCAAAGUAAGAUUAAAUGAGUUUCUCAGACCGGGU